GUAGGGGGGGCGAGCAUUAUCCGGAUUUAUUGGGCAUAAAGGGCGCGUAGGGCGGCGAUUUAAGUCAGAUGUUAAAGACCUUGGCUCAACCAGGGUUCGCAUUUGAUACUGAAUUGCUAGAGGUCAGGAAAAGAAAGCGGAACUCACAGUGUAGCGGUGAAAUGCGUAGAUAUUGUGAGGAACACCAGUUGCGAAGGCGGCUUUCUGGACUGAAUCUGACGCUGAGGCGCGAAAGCGUGGGGAGCGAACGGGAUUAGAUACCCCGGUAGUCCACGCCGUAAACGGUGUUCACUAGGUGUAGGAGGUAUCGACCCCUUCUGUGCCACAGAUAAUUCGUUAAGUGAACCGCCUGGGAAGUACGACCGCAAGGUUA
rnacentral:rRNA from 1 species